CGUAUUUCUUUAUAAUUUUUAAAAAAUUUCCAUCUUUUAGCUUUCGUAUUAUUCCUUUCGAAAUAUUCCAAGAACACACAUUUAAACACUCAUGAUUUCCCGUUUUAAUAUUACAUUUGUUUUGUUUAACAUCACACUCCGCUGGUCCCUACUCCUUCCACAAUUGACCGUUAACAAAUAGCUUAUCGCCGAAAAUAUAUGCCUUCUUAUGAUUUUUCCGCUGUUGUUUCAUUAUUGGAAUAAGCUUUUUCCGUUUUUCAAGUACAACCUUUGGAUAAUGGGGGCUUAUACCAAAAUGUGUUUCCUUU
rnacentral:lncRNA from 1 species